rnacentral:rRNA from 1 species
GAUGAACGCUGGCGGCGUGCCUAAUACAUGCAAGUCGAGCGAACAGACGAGGAGCUUGCUCCUCUGACGUUAGCGGCGGACGGGUGAGUAACACGUGGAUAACCUACCUAUAAGACUGGGAUAACUUCGGGAAACCGGAGCUAAUACCGGAUAAUAUAUUGAACCGCAUGGUUCAAUAGUGAAAGACGGUUUUGCUGUCACUUAUAGAUGGAUCCGCGCUGCAUUAGCUAGUUGGUAAGGUAACGGCUUACCAAGGCAACGAUGCAUAGCCGACCUGAGAGGGUGAUCGGCCACACUGGAACUGAGACACGGUCCAGACUCCUACGGGAGGCAGCAGUAGGGAAUCUUCCGCAAUGGGCGAAAGCUUGACGGAGCAACGCCGCGUGAGUGAUGAAGGUCUUCGGAUCGUAAAACUCUGUUAUUAGGGAAGAACAAAUGUGUAAGUAACUAUGCACGUCUUGACGGUACCUAAUCAGAAAGCCACGGCUAACUACGUG